rnacentral:rRNA from 1 species
AAUAUUGGACAAUGGGGGCAACCCUGAUCCAGCCAUGCCGCGUGUGUUAAGAAUGUCUUCGGAUUAUAAAGCACUUUAAGUUGGGAAGAAGGGCUUUAGGUUAAUACCCUGAAGUUUUGACGUUACCAACAUAAUAAGCACCUCCGAACUCUGACCCAUCAGCCGCGGUAACACAGAGGGUGCAAGCGUUAAUCGGAAUUACUGGGCGUAAAGCGAGCGUAGGUGGUUCAGUAAGAUGGGUGUGAAAUCCCCGGGCUUAACCUGGGAACUGCUUUCAUAACUGCUGAGCUAGAGUACGGUAGAGGGUAGUGGAAUUUCCUGUGUAGCGGUGAAAUGCGUAGAUAUAGGAAGGAACACCAGUGGCGAAGGCGACUACCUGGACUGAUACUGACACUGAGGUGCGAAAGCGUGGGGAGCAAAC